UCCAUUUUCUGAAGACUGGUGGUUUGAACUGAUGAGAUGGUCCUUUCCUGCCAUGACUCUUCCAUGAGUGUCAGACUCCUCUACUGGGUGGCCAUUAGUCAAAUGGGAGUGGGCCUUACAGCUGUAGGAGUCACCCAGAUCCCCAGGCACCUGGUCACAAGGAAGGGCCAGAAUGUGACCCUGAGAUGUGAUCCCAUUCCUUCACACACUUCCCUGUUCUGGUACCGUCAGACUCAAAGUCGAGAGCUGGAGUUUCUCUUCUUUUUCCAGAACAAUGCAGAAAUGCUGAAAUCAGAGUUAUUGUUUGUGAAGAGAUAUUCAACUAAAUGGCCCAAACAGUCUUUCUCCAGCCUGAAAAUUCACUCCCUGGAGCCAGAGGAUUCAGCCUUGUUAUUCUGUGCUAGCAGUUUAUACACAGUGUUACAGAGUCAUCUCAUCUCUGUAUGCAAAUCCUUAUACAUUUUGUCAUUUCCCCAGACUCCCAACAGUCUCCCCAGGAAACCUUAACUUUUCUCUCUUUACAGAAAGACGUAAGGUUGCAGCUGCAGAUAUCUAUCUUGAAUGACGAAGAUAGUCAUUAUUUUUAAAAAUUUUAUUUAAAUUUUUAUUCAUAAAAUUAAACAAGCAUUUCCAUAACAUAGUAUAAUUAGAAAAGA